rnacentral:rRNA from 1 species
UUUUAUUUGAGAGUUUGAUCCUGGCUCAGGAUGAACGCUGGCGGCGUGCCUAACACAUGCAAGUUGAGCGAUUUACUUCGGUAAAGAGCGGCGGACGGGUGAGUAACGCGUGGGUAACCUACCCUGUACACACGGAUAACAUACCGAAAGGUAUGCUAAUACGGGAUAAUAUAUUUGAGAGGCAUCUCUUGAAUAUCAAAGGUGAGCCAGUACAGGAUGGACCCGCGUCUGAUUAGCUAGUUGGUAAGGUAACGGCUUACCAAGGCGACGAUCAGUAGCCGACCUGAGAGGGU